UACAGAGGGUGCGAGCGUUGUCCGGAAUUACUGGGCGUAAAGGGCGCGUAGGCGGCCCGAUAAGUCGGGGGUGAAAGUCAGCGGCUCAACCGCUGGACUGCCUUCGAGACUGUUAGGCUGGAGCAUGGUAGAGGCUGGCGGAAUUCCCGGUGUAGCGGUGGAAUGCGUAGAGAUCGGGAAGAACAUCGGUGGCGAAGGCGGCCAGCUGGGCCAUUGCUGACGCUGAUGCGCGACAGCGUGGGGAGCAAACAGG
rnacentral:rRNA from 1 species